rnacentral:rRNA from 1 species
UACGGAGGGGGCUAGCGUUGUUCGGAAUUACUGGGCGUAAAGCGCACGUAGGCGGCUUUGUAAGUUAGAGGUGAAAGCCCAGGGCUUAACCCUGGAAUUGCCUUUAAGACUGCAUCGCUAGAAUCGUGGAGAGGUGAGUGGAAUUCCGAGUGUAGAGGUGAAAUUCGUAGAUAUUCGGAAGAACACCAGUGGCGAAGGCGGCUCUCUGGACGGAUACUGACGCUGAGGCGCGAAAGCGUGGGGAUCAAACAGG